rnacentral:tRNA from 1 species
UAUAUUUUAGUGUAGAAUGCACGAUAAUUUUUGAAAUUGUAAGGUAUAGUUAAAUUCUAUAAAAUAUAA